GAUGAACGCUGGCGGCGUGCCUAAUACAUGCAAGUAGAACGCUGAAGGAAGGAGCUUGCUCUUUCCGGGUGAGUUGCGAACGGGUGAGUAACGCGUAGGUAACCUGCCUGGUAGCGGGGGAUAACUAUUGGAAACGAUAUCUAAUACCGCAUAACAGUAGAUGUUGCAUGAUGUCUACUUAAAAGGUGCAAUUGCACCACUACCAGAUGGACCUGCGUUGUAUUAGCUAGUUGGUGAGGUAACGGCUCACCAAGGCGACGAUACAUAGCCGACCUGAGAGGGUGAUUGGCCACACUGGGACGGGGACAAGGCCCAGGCGCCUACGGGAGGGAGCAGGAGGGAAACGUCGGAAAUGGGCGGAAGUCUGACCGCACAACGCCGCGGGAGGGAAGAAGGGUGUCGGAUCGUAAAGGUCUGUUUUAAGAGAAGAAAGAGUGUGAGAGUGGAAAGUUGACAGUGUGACGGUAUCUUACCAGAAAGCGACGGCUAACUACGUG
rnacentral:rRNA from 1 species